GACGAACGCUGGCGGCGUGCCUAAUACAUGCAAGUUGAGCGCUGAAGGUUGGUACUUGUACCAACUGGAUGAGCAGCGAACGGGUGAGUAACGCGUGGGGAAUCUGCCUUUGAGCGGGGGACAACAUUUGGAAACGAAUGCUAAUACCGCAUAAAAACUUUAAAAACAAGUUUUAAGUUUGAAAGAUGCAAUUGAAUCACUCAAAGAUGAUCCCGCGUUGUAUUAGCUAGUUGGUGAGGUAAAGGCUCACCAAGGCGAUGAUACAUAGCCGACCUGAGAGGGUGAUCGGCCACAUUGGGACUGAGACACGGCCCAAACUCCUACGGGAGGCAGCAGUAGGGAAUCUUCGGCAAUGGACGAAAGUCUGACCGAGCAACGCCGCGUGAGUGAAGAAGGUUUUCGGAUCGUAAAACUCUGUUGGUAGAGAAGAACGUUGGUGAGAGUGGAAAGCUCAUCAAGUGACGGUAACUACCCAGAAAGGGACGGCUAACUACGUG
rnacentral:rRNA from 1 species